GACGAACGCUGGCGGCGUGCUUAACACAUGCAAGUCGAACGGAAAGGCCUGCUUUCCCUUGUGGAUUGCGGGUACUCGAGUGGCGAACGGGUGAGUAACACGUGAGUGAUCUGCCCCCAACUUGGGUAUAAGCCUGGGAAACUGGGUCUAAUUCCCGAUAGGACUGCAGGGUGGUGCCUGAGGUGGAAGACGAUUUUCUAGUGGUUGGGGAUGAGCUGGCGGCCUAUCAGCUUGUUGGUGGGGUAAUGGCCUACCAAGGCGGGGACGGGUAGCCGGCCUGAGAGGGUGGACGGCGAGAUUGGGACUGAGAUACGGCCCAGACUCCUACGGGCGGCAGCAGUGGGGAAUAUUGCACAAUGGGCGGAAGCCUGAUGCAGCGACGCCGCGUGGGGGAUGACGGCCUUCGGGUAGUAAACUCCUUUCGACCGAGAGGAAGCCACCUGGUUGGAAGGGUGGUGACGGUAGUGGUAGAAGAAGCACCGGCUAACUACGUG
rnacentral:rRNA from 1 species